AGGUCAGAAGUUGAUCAAACAAGGGAAGAUUACAUAAUGAGAUGAUAAAGGUUGUUAAUUGCCUGAUUCACCAGUUUUUACUGAACUAACCAGACAGUGGCCCUUUAAUGGAAGAAAGCACAAGUUGAGAAGAAACCAAACUUAGGACAUCAUCCAGAACCAGUGAUCUACAAGGGCCUGAAAUCUGGGCAACCUCUUCAAUAGCUCAGUCAGGCAUGAACAAGAACACUUUAGGGCAGUGAGCUGUUCAGCUCUUGAUAUAUUACAGUUGGCACCUAUGGAAAGAUACCUGAGGACUAAAAACAUGAAGGACAAAAAAAGAAACAAGAAUGUUUGGACCAACAACAAGUCACAUGCUAGAAAUUGGGUUACAGAAAUAAUUAUAACUCCUCUUCAGAGAGCUCAUGACCUAGAGUGGUGGUAUAUAAUCAAGUCAAAGUUAUAAUCACUCCAGGACAGAGGAGUAACAACCAGCAUCACACACAGAUGCUUGAAUACAUGUUGAUGCAUCCAAGGAAGAUGGAGGAGGACAGUUAAGCCAUCACCUCUGUGGUCUGGGCUCAUGGCUUCUGUAUUACAUGAUAAGAGAAGCACUGCUAGUGAGCAAUCAUUAAAUAGUUAUAGUCUAGAUGACACUGGACUGUGACUGUGCACAUGCAAAA
rnacentral:lncRNA from 1 species